rnacentral:snRNA from 1 species
UGUGUUGUGUUUUAUGUAAUCAACGGGUAUUAACUUCGCCUUUUACUAAGUUUAAUCCGUGCAUAAAACACAGAAAGACACUUUCACAGUUUUUGUAAGGAUUUCGAUCCU